GGGUAUGUCGCUAGAGGUGCCGGUAUAGGGGACCAUGGAGCUGCCUAUGGUAGUGGUGGGGGUAGUGGUGGUGGUGAAGGUUAUGGUGCUGGAGGAGAGCAUGGAGGUGGUUAUGGUGGUGGAGGAGGAAAUGGUGGUGGUGGUGGUUCAGGUUAUGCCGCUGGAGCUGACCAUGGAGGUGUGUACGGUAGUGGUGAGGGUGCUGGUGGUGGUGCUGGAUAUGGUGGAGGAGGGGAGCAUGGAGGUGGUUAUGGUGGUGGAGGAGGAAAUGGUGGUGGUUCUGCAGGUUAUGCUGCUGGAGCUGGUCAUGGUGGUGGCUAUGCUAGUGGUGGGGGAGCAGGAGGUGGAGCUGGAUAUGGUGCUGGAGGGGAACAUGGAGCUGGCUAUGGCGGGGGUGGUGGCAGUGGUGGAGGUGGUGGUACUGCGUAUGGGGCCGGAGGAGCACAUGGAGGUGGAUAUGGUAGCGGUGGAGGAGCUGGUGGUGGUUAUGGGGGAGAACAAGGUGGUGGUUAUGGAGGAGAACAUGGUGGUGGCUACGGUGGUGGCGGUGGUAGUGGAAGUGGUGGUGGCUAUGCAGGCGCGGCAGGUGGCGAACAUGGUUCUGGAUAUGAUGCUGGCGGUGCUGGUGGCGGCUCAGGUGGUGGUGCUGGAUAUGGAGGUGCUGGUGGGCAUGGUGGUGGAGGUGGUGGUGGUUCAGGAGGGGGGCAUGGUGGUUACUCCCCAUAAAAAGAACCAUCCUAAAGGUUGAUGGUCAAGAAAAUUAUAUUUAACUAUUUAAGUAUGUCUCUUAAAUAUUUUUAAUAUAAAAAAAUUGAAUAAAUUUGAUUUUGGAUGUAAUAAAAAAUUCUUAAUGAUUAUUUAUCUGAUGGUUUGUGAGUUCGCUGAUCAUUUCAGAACUAAAAAUUAUGAUCAUCGAAAUUACUUUACAAUUAGUACUUCAUAUUAUCAUAUAUGUAGUUGCAUGCAUGAUAUUUUUGCGCGCUAAAUUAAGAU
rnacentral:lncRNA from 1 species